CCGUACACAAAAGCGCAUGUGCUGUGAGCUCGAUGAGUAGGGCGGGACACGUGGUAUCCUGUCUGAAUAUGGGGGGACCAUCCUCCAAGGCUAAAUACUCCUGACUGACCGAUAGUGAACCAGUACCGUGAGGGAAAGGCGAAAAGAACCCCGGCGAGGGGAGUGAAAAAGAACCUGAAACCGUGUACGUACAAGCAGUGGGAGCACAGGUUUACCUGUGUGACUGCGUACCUUUUGUAUAAUGGGUCAGCGACUUAUAUUCUGUAGCAAGGUUAACCGUAUAGGGGAGCCGGAGGGAAACCGAGUCUUAAUUGGGCGUUAAGUUGCAGGGUAUAGACCCGAAACCCGGUGAUCUAGCCAUGGGCAGGUUGAAGGUUGGGUAACACUAACUGGAGGACCGAACCGACUAAUGUUGAAAAAUUAGCGGAUGACCUGUGGCUGGGGGUGAAAGGCCAAUCAAACCGGGAGAUAGCUGGUUCUCCCCGAAAGCUAUUUAGGUAGCGCCUCGUGAAUUCAUCUCCGGGGGUAGAGCACUGUUUCGGCUAGGGGGCCAUCCCGGCUUACCAACCCGAUGCAAACUGCGAAUACCGGAGAAUGUUAUCACGGGAGACACACGGCGGGUGCUAACGUCCGUCGUGAAGAGGGAAACAACCCAGACCGCCAGCUAAGGUCCCAAAGUCAUGGUUAAGUGGGAAACGAUGUGGGAAGGCCCAGACAGCCAGGAUGUUGGCUUAGAAGCAGCCAUCAUUUAAAGAAAGCGUAAUAGCUCACUGGUCGAGUCGGCCUGCGCGGAAGAUGUAACGGGGCUAAACCAUGCACCGAAGCUGCGGCAGCGAACGUAUCACCCAAGACAACUUUACGGAGUUGACGAUUGACGGAGCGAAGCGACGUCAAAGCGUUCAUUAAAGUCGAGUUGGCUUAGGGAUACGUUCGUUGGGUAGGGGAGCGUUCUGUAAGCCUGUGAAGGUGUGUCGUGAGGCAUGCUGGAGGUAUCAGAAGUGCGAAUGCUGACAUAAGUAACGAUAAAGCGGGUGAAAAGCCCGCUCGCCGGAAGACCAAGGGUUCCUGUCCAACGUUAAUCGGGGCAGGGUGAGUCGACCCCUAAGGCGAGGCCGAAAGGCGUAGUCGAUGGGAAACGGGUUAAUAUUCCCGUACUUGGUGUUACUGCGAAGGGGGGACGGAGAAGGCUAUGUUGGCCGGGCGACGGUUGUCCCGGUUUAAGCGUGUAGGUGUGUGUUCCAGGUAAAUCCGGUUCACUUUA
rnacentral:rRNA from 1 species